rnacentral:rRNA from 1 species
AUUGAACGCUGGCGGCAUGCCUUACACAUGCAAGUCGAACGGCAGCGCGGGGCAACCUGGUGGCGAGUGGCGAACGGGUGAGUAAUGCAUCGGAACGUACCUUUCAGUGGGGGAUAACGUAGCGAAAGUUACGCUAAUACCGCAUAUUCUGUGAGCAGGAAAGCAGGGGAUCGCAAGACCUUGCGCUGAUGGAGCGGCCGAUGUCGGAUUAGCUAGUUGGUGAGGUAAAGGCUCACCAAGGCGACGAUCUGUAGCGGGUCUGAGAGGAUGAUCCGCCACACUGGAACUGAGACACGGUCCAGACUCCUACGGGAGGCAGCAGUGGGGAAUUUUGGACAAUGGGGGCAACCCUGAUCCAGCCAUGCCGCGUGAGUGAAGAAGGCCUUCGGGUUGUAAAGCUCUUUCGGCCGGGAAGAAAUCGCACGGGCUAAUACCCUGUGUGGAUGACGGUACCGGAAUAAGAAGCACCGGCUAACUACGUGCCAGCAGCCGCCGUAACAC